rnacentral:lncRNA from 1 species
UGGGAGCCUCCGUUGGCAAAGCUGCCUCAUUGAGCAAGAGGGCCCUGACGAGAAUUCCAUGAGUGAAUUCCCGCAGGGAGCAAAGGGCAGAGGGAGUGUGUCCCUGCCUGGCUGGCACCUCCUGGGGAUUUUGGGCAGCAAAGGGACCACAGCGAGGACGAAGAGGAGGAGGAAGGUGCCUGGGAAUUCCUUCAGCUUCCUGGGCUUGUUCCCGGGCCAUGGCGGCCACCACGGUGACCGACGUCGGCAGCGUGAGGAUCAUCACGGAGGUGAUCCCGGCCACGGAUCCCCGGGCAGCCCAGCUGGCCUCAGGCUCCCAAGCACCUGCCAGGACCUCAUUCCAAACACAAGGCUUCCAGAGGGCUCAUCCCAAGGUGUUGGGGACCAUCCACAUCUUCACUGGAAUUGUCCACAUCUGCUUCGGGAUCAUCCUGACGCUGUCGGAGCACGGGAACCCUUCCCUCCCUGUGGCCAGCGGGAUCCUCUUCUGGCUGGGGAUCCUGGUCAAGGCCUGCUGUGUGGUCAGUGUGGGCGUUGUCCUGGGCACGCUGGUGGCCACCGGGAUCCACGGCACGGCCAUCACCCGGAUCGUGCCCGGCUGCGGGAAGCCCGAGCCCUUCCAGACCCGCCCGGAAUGGUGCUUCCACAUGGAGAGCAAGAUGCUGAGCAACGGCCUGGAUUCCGUCUUGGUGCUGCUCGGCCUCCUGGAAUUCUGCGUGGCCGUGGCGGUUCUGGCGUUUGGAUACGACGUGGUCGGGCAGCACACAUACACCCAGCUGGCGCUGUAGCCACGGCCCAGCCCCGCAUGUGGUGCCGCAUCCCGGGGGGGUCCCCGCUAC